rnacentral:rRNA from 1 species
UGGCAGACGGGUGAGUAACGCGUGGGAAUCUACCCAGUACUACGGAACAACAGUUAGAAAUGACUGCUAAUACCGUAUACGCCCUCCGGGGGAAAGAUUUAUCGGUAUUGGAUGAGCCCGCGUUUGAUUAGCUAGUUGGUGUGGUAAUGGCGCACCAAGGCGACGAUCAAUAGCUGGUCUGAGAGGAUGAUCAGCCACACUGGGACUGAGACACGGCCCAGACUCCUACGGGAGGCAGCAGUGGGGAAUAUUGGACAAUGGGCGCAAGCCUGAUCCAGCCAUGCCGCGUGUGUGAUGAAGGCCCUAGGGUUGUAAAGCACUUUCAACGGUGAAGAUAAUGACGGUAACCGUAGAAGAAGCUCCGGCUAACUUCGUGCCAGCAGCCGCGGUAAU